AUAUCAUAGUCCACAGUAAUAUCACAAAAGAGCACCACUGAGAUACUAUUUUAUGACACAUUAUUUUUGCAUGAAAACCUAUGCUCUGCUUUCCUCAUACUUGCAUUGUUUAAUUUUUGGUAAUACCAAGCAUUGAGAAACGGUUAUCUUUUCCUUUACAACAAUGACCUUUGACACUGGGUGGAAUUUUAUAAGCUUGCUUUUUAAAAAUAUUGCAAAUAAAAUUGAGUAUUAGAAAGGGGCACAGUAAGAACAAAAAAAUCAUAAAGGAGAUUUUUAAAGUAUCCUAGAUUUUUAAAAUCUAGUGUAUCUAAACAUAAGGACUUCAACUCAUUUAAAAAAUCUACUUCAUAUAUUUUUUCUGUUUGUCUUCAUAAACAUAUAUGUUUAUCAAGAUACAAGAUUACAUAAGUAUAUAUUUAUAAUCUUGUUUCCAGUUGGCAUCUGAGAGUAAGUUGGCAUCACUGCUAUACAUAUACACAUAAAUGUGAAUAUAUAUGAAUAUAUAUGCACAUGUUUAUUUUUCAUAUGUGAAACCAUAGAUCUAUAAUUGCAUGGAUAUACUUGGAUCUGAUUUAUCUUGUUAAAAAUGAC
rnacentral:lncRNA from 1 species